CCACGUACAGAGAGCACAUCAUACCCUGGAUCAUUUGAUUUUAGAAAUGCACUCGGGGCACAAUUGAAUAAUCCUGUAUGGGGUGAUUUUGUGCAAUCAUUAUUAGCUGAAGGUUUUCAUAAGCCAAGAACAGGAUGAGAUGCUGGUGAUCAUCCUCCCAUUACUCCCAUGCGAUCAGCAACGGAGGAUAUGGUAGGAAAUGAUGCUUGGAGGCUGUACCAGUAUAUAUGUCAGCAUUUUAUUGGCUCUGUUAGUCCUGACUGCAAAUACAGAAGGACUAAUGUAGAAUUUUACUGUUGGUGAUGAAGUGUUCCGCUGUGUGGGUCAGCUGUCAUAGCUAAAGGGUUUACAUCUAUCAUGUCAUGGUUGGCUGUUAGUGAAAAAAAUCUUCCUCAGUUUACAAAGGGAGAGAGAAUAAACAUUGCGAAAGUUGAGCUAUAUGAGGGUAGCACCUCACCUCCUGAUUACCUCAGCGAGAGUGAGCUGAUAUAUCUAAAGGAAAAGCAUGGAAUAAGAACAACUUAC